GUCUAGGGGCGGGGCUUAAGGCGGAAGCGGCGUCCCCGCGCUCCGUGCAGUGCGGGUUUCAGUGAUGCUGCGCUCAGGAUGGAUGCGGCUGUUGCCCAUGCUCUGCAGCCUCCUGCUAGGGCGAGCCGAGGCCCCGAGCCCGGGGGUGCCGCCGGAGCAAAGCCAGCCCUACGCGGUGUUGCGGAGGCAGAGCCUGGUGCUGAUGGGAACCAUCUUUAGCAUCCUGCUGGUGACUGUCCUCCUUAUGGCAUUCUGUGUCUACAAGCCCAUCCGUCGGCGGUGAUGGCCACACGGGGAAGCGCUGCUCCAAGUCUCCGGGACAGAAGUCGUGUUGCACGCAGGCUACUGAAGAUGGUGGAAUCAGAACUGGGCAGGCAGUAAAUGCUACAGGGUUAGGAAAGUGCCCAGUGGGGAUUGUUUUCAGUUAUUGGCUACUGAUUCGGUGUCUCUUUUUGCUUGGCUGUGCUGGUUAAAAGUUGGAGGCUCCAAGGGCCCUUGUAAAGACAUGUCCAUUGCGAAGUGACCAGAAGAGCUACCCCGAGGACUAAUCGCUAAUGCUUGGGAUAGAAGAGGAAGACCUAAGCAUGCAGACCUCCCCUGCUUUCUGCCUUUCUGUCACAGUGUGUUCAUCAUACUCAAGGGCCAGCAAGAUGAUCCAGCGGGUACAGGCACUUACUACUGAGGCCAAUUUUGAUUCCUGGGUGGAACCUGGAGGGAGAGAAACCCCCCUCCCACCCCCAUGGGUUGUUCCUUGACCUCUGCACAGGAAUAAGUAACUAUAAAAAUACACACCACAUCUCACUCCACUGAGUUGCCCUCGAAUACCCUGGCUGCAAAGCUGGGGAACUUAGCCAUCAUUCCUUGCUGCGUUGGUACUGAGCCAAUCAGUGUCGCAUCCUAGGUCUGUGAGAUAGUGUCACACGCCCCCACCCUCACCCUGCACCUCCCACCUCGGCCUGGAAGGUUCUGGGUGGCUCAGACAUAUAGAUAUCCUCAUGGUGACGGGUGGCAACCUGAGACUUAGGACUUAGUCUCCCUUUCUCCCUAGGUGUAGAGGGUUCAGCCGUGUGCACCCCCCCCCCUUCCAAGCUGCUGUGUUGACGAGACUGCCUGUCUGCCUUUCAGGUGCUGCUACUGAACUAGAUUUCCCUGUUGUUACAGAGGUUAUUAGUAUUUAUUUUAAUUUUGCUAUAAUGUUGUUAUGCUUUACUGUGUAUUCUUUUUGUGUUUUAACUUAACAGCCUGCACUAAUGUGAAUACCACCCAACUGUGGGGGUCACAUCUGGAACCUUGUAACCCUGAGCCAUUAAAUGUCAGUUAAAUGGAAGAGAGA